CCAGUUGUAGUAGUCCUUAGUGCAAAGAAUGAAUACAUACAAUUGCAGCAAGACAUCUGUGCUGAUUAUUACUGUAGAGCUGCUGCCCUAUGAGAGGGAAAUACUUGUGGUUAUAAGUGUAACCCUUGUUUCCUUCUCUCAUUUACAGAUAUACAAAAGUCUGGCAGUGCUGUCGGGAUAGUCACUGGACAUUUAAAAAUUUUUUUUGGAAACUAGAAGGUUCUUAGCUUUAAAAGGUUGAGAAACAAUGCUGAAGACACUGUGAUUCUAAUCUUUGACCUUCUACUACCUACUGAUGGGCUGUGAGUCAUCUCUGAAGACUUGUAUUUAUGGCUCCAUAAAGAACAUAUCUGGAAUCCCAACCAUGAUCAGGGAAAAAGUUUCAGAAACCCCCAGGAACCAACAUGGGAGAAAGCAGUGCCAGAAAGAAACUGCAUGGUAAACAUGCCCCUGGAGUCUUGGAAUACUAACACGAAAAGAGAAGUAGGUUUAGGAAAGCAGACUGGUGCAUGAAGGAGAGAAAUUAGAAGUGCCUUCCCAUACAAAUAUUCACAUUCCUGACUGGAAGCUCCUGGGAAGUUAAUGAGAGUGUC